GGAGAUAAGAGAAAGCACUGAUUCUAGGCUGACCUUCCUCCCCAAGGCCCCCCCACAGGGAGUGGGCAUUGCGCUGACCAGCCUCUUGCCAAAGCAGACCUCUAGCUACUGAGAGCAGACAUUGAGCUGUUUCAAUGACGUAACAAUGAAUGGCCCCAGGACCGCGAGGUGACGGAGGACUUGGAAAGGAAGAAUGAGGUCAAGUGAGAAGGAAGAAGGGGUGAGAGGGAAUGAACAUGAAUUGCCCUCCUAUGAGCUCUCCAGUGGUCUUUUUUCCAUAAAGGAAGCCCUUCCCACACCCUCUGACCCACAUGGAGCAGACACCGCAUGGAGGAGGAGAAAGAGCACUGGCUGACCCCCUGUCUUGAUACCGUCUCCUUGCUGGUUGGAUGACACUGUGAAGGAAACCUCUUUGAGCCUUGGUCUUUUCAUCUGUCAAAUGGGGGUGGUCCCAGGAGCCCUACGAUAGCCUUGAGGACUGAGUUAGAUGCCAGAUGUGCAGCGCCUCAGUGCAAAUCCUGACACAUAGUGGGCACCCAAUAAAUGUGAGCUCCUACCCUCUUAGUCUUAGCACCAUGUGCGUUGGGCAUACCUCAUGCUCAGCUUGGCUGGAUCUCCAGCUCAGCCCAUGGGCGCCAUGAGCUUUGGCAUGCAGGGCCUGAGCUCACACUUCUCUGUGUGCUUUCAAAUUCUGAACUAGUGCUGAGCCAGGGCCUGCCUGGACAUCCUGGUCUUCCUCUAGCCACUGAGAUUCUUCCAACGGUGCCCUACUGCUCUCAGAAAAAGCACCAGUUUCUUAAUCACUCCUAAGGCCCUUUGGGAUCUGGUCCCUGCCCACUUAUCCAGCUUUAUCUCCUAGGCCCUAUGGAACCAUGAAGUUCUUUGGAUGCACUGGCUUCUUCCUACAGCUGAGCCUUUGAUCAGCCAAUCCUCUGCCUGGAGCACCCUCUCCCCUCUUUGACUUCUGCCCCAUGUCCUCGUUACCUAGCUGACUUCUGCUCACCUUUUCCAUCUUGGCUUAGCUAUCCUGCCUUCAGGAAAACGUCUCUGUCUCUCCAGGUCUCUUCUUGGGGUCCUGUCAUCUCCUCUAACUUUUAUCACAGCACUUGCCACCCGGGGUGUCCACCUCCUUUUGUGAUUAAUCUGUGAGCUCCUGGGGGCAGGGACCAGGUUGAACUCAAUGUUCCAUCCCCAGGCUGGUGCACUGCCUGGCACAUAGUGAGUGCUCAAUAAAUAACCGAGAAAAAAGAUUGAGUGUGUGUCUCUUGCUACCACUUUAUCUAAAGCCACUGAAGUGAUCUGGACCUGAGGCACUCUUGGGCCAAUAGGUAUUUUUGUUUAGAGAAGGCUGAGGACUGACUCACAAAAAGCCCAGAGCAGGGUGCCCUAGCCCAUGGCAGCCUGGUUAAUAGGGUGUCUUCUGCCAUCCGCAGUCAGCCUGGGCCACUAAAGUUCUCCAGUUGCUGGUAUGAGACAGAAAUGGAACAAACCAGGGUUUGGGCAAAUCCCAUUGAGACAGAUAGGCUAAGAGAAGUUUGGGGAUUUUGUGGGUAUGUCCCUAACCCCCGCUAUUGGUGUCAGGGGAAAACAACACUCCUCUUCCCUUUGGCUUCCUUCAGAAGUCAGGUCUUAGAUCUGAGAGGUCUAGGGCUGACCUGGGGGAGGGCACACUUCUGGCAUCUGCAGUGGGGGAGUGAGGCAGUGCUUAUGGAGACAGAGUUAUAGGUCACUCUAGAGUCUUCUGAGAAAUUGCAUCUAAGAGGCGAAGCUGGUGGACCUGUCUGUCAAAUCACCCCGAGGCCGUGGAGGGCUGGAGCCUCAGCCAGCUGUGGCCAUGUUUGGACUCCAGUGUGGACAGGGGCAGGCUGCCUGCAUGCUUGCUUCCUGUCUGGCUGGCGGAGUUCUUUCAGAGCCCUCACUGAACUGAAAUCAUAAACACAAGCUUUCAGAGAAGCCAGUGAUUUCUGCUUCUGUCUUCAUCUGAUUAUGAGGAGAUAACAGAUGACUUUGUUCUAAAGUGCAGAGAAAACUCCCUGGUCUUACAGGCCGGGGCAUGGGGCUAUAGUCACCGUGCUGGUCCCAAACCACCUCUUCAUCUGUGCCUGGCAUGACAGCAAGGACACAUAGACAACAGAGUGACCACAAGCCGGGGUCCUGGCCCCAUGAGUGUGACAAGAACCUGGGAGACAAACUGUUCCUGGGGGGACACGCUGUCUCGAUGCGGUGUCCAAGAACCCAGCUUUCAGGUCCCAGCUCACUCUUGAGUCUCCUGGCCUCCAGCCUCCCUCCAGCUCACCCUCCUUUCCCAGUCCCCGCAGCACUUCCUGGAACAUGCAUUCCCCCCACCUCCUAAUAUUUUUAUGUGCGUCACAUUUUCCUCUCAUAUCCCUCAAGGUACCUGUUGCAAAGCAGGGCACACAGCAAUCCCUUCAUAUUCAUUUGCUCAAAAUCCUUUUACUCACCAUAAAAGUCAAACUCAAAAUGCCUCCUAGCUUUGAAAUGUCUCAGUAUGCUUAUCUAAGCUCUAUUUUCUUUGAAAUGUCAAUAUGCUUAUCUAAGCUCUAUUUUCUUCUUUUAAAUAUCCUCUAAGGAAAAGGAAACAUGAAAAUAAUUAGAAUGCUUGCUCAAUAUCAAUUAACUAGAUCUUUAGAUAGAUAUAUGUAUUCAUUCAGUUCA